UACGAAGGGGGCUAGCGUUGUUCGGAAUCACUGGGCGUAAAGCGCACGUAGGCGGAUGUGCCAGUCAGGGGUGAAAUCCCGGAGCUCAACUCCGGAACUGCUUCUGAUACAGCACGUCUUGAGUUCGAGAGAGGUGGGUGGAAUUCCUAGUGUAGAGGUGAAAUUCGUAGAUAUUAGGAAGAACACCGGUGGCGAAGGCGGCCCACUGGCUCGAUACUGACGCUGAGGUGCGAAAGCGUGGGGAGCAAACAGG
rnacentral:rRNA from 1 species